UACAAACCCGAUGUCAUUUCUUUCUAGGAACGUCUUAUCAAGUGUUUAACCCUGAUGGUUUUUUAUUUCAUCCAUCGUAUGUGCUGAUCAUCUGGUUGGAUUUUGUGGUUUUCCUUUUGGUGGAAAGGAAUUUCUUGUCUGGUGUUCAACCUCGAUGGUUGUUUAUUUCAUGCAUCGUAUGUACUGAUCAUUUGGUUGGAUUUUGUAGUUUUCCUUUUGGUGGAAAGGAUAAACUAUUUCUGUGUCCAAUUCAAAGUUCCUAAACGUCGUGAAUUGAAACGGACCGAGAAAUGAGAAAUAGGGAAGAAAUUAGAAAAAUAUUACAGAUGAGAGAGGGAAGACCGAUCAAUGACACAGCAAGUGAGGCAGCAAAUGUUCGAAAUGUACUUUGUCACAAAUUAUGGCUUGAAAAAGAAACUGGUCAAGUAUCCUGACAAUGUUGUAAACAGUGACCGAGGAACUGCUUGUAUUUGCUGGAGUUAUGUUUUUGUUAUGUGUUUUACACUCAAAAGGUCUACCUCACCGUAAACAAAUGAUGCCACAUUGCAAAACCUCUAUGUAGCAGAAUUAUCAAAAUUAAACAUCCCUGA
rnacentral:misc_RNA from 1 species